rnacentral:lncRNA from 1 species
CCUAUGAAAGAUCCACUAAGUCAAGCUCCAUCCAAAUAAGACUCCAAACAACCCAAACAGACGACUACAAAAACCAAUAACCUAAAACCCGUCAGAACUCCCGGAACUUGUCGGAACGUCCUCGGAACCCACAAACUGCUCCAGAAUUCCCCGAUCACAAUCGUAACUCCCCGAUCACAAUCGUAACUAUCUGUUGUCCCCCAAAUGCACCAAACAA